rnacentral:tRNA from 1 species
GCCCAUGUAGCUCAGGUGGUAGAGCGCAUCCUUGGUAAGGAUGAGGUCACCGGUUCGAAUCCGAUCAUGGGCUCCA